rnacentral:rRNA from 1 species
CCUACGGGUGGCUGCAGUAAGGAAUAUUGGUCAAUGGACGAAAGUCUGAACCAGCCAUGCCGCGUGAAGGAUGAAGGUCCUCUGGAUUGUAAACUUCUUUUAUCUGGGACGAAAAAAGGGAAUUCUUUCUCACUUGACGGUACCAGAAGAAUAAGCACCGGCUAACUCCGUGCCAGCAGCCGCGGUAAUACGGAGGGUGCCAGCGUUACCCGGAUUAACUGGGUCUAAGGGGGGCAGUUAUGGGCGGUUAGAAAUCUCCGGGCUUAACCCGGAAACUGCCAUGGAUACUAUCUGUCUUGAAUACUCUGGAGGUAAGCGGAAUAUGUCAUGUAGCGGUGAAAUGCUUAGAUAUGACAUAGAACACCGAUUGCGAAGGCAGCUUACUACGGAGUCAUUGACACUGAGGCACGAAAGCGUGGGGAUCAAACAGGAUUAGAUACCCCGGUAGUC